rnacentral:SRP_RNA from 1 species
GCCAGGCGUGUGGUGCACACCUGUAAUCCCAGCUACUCCGGAGGCUGAGGCAGGAGAAUUGCUUGAAUCCGGGAGGUGGAGGUUGCAGUGAGCCAAGAUCGCGCCACUGCACUCUAGCCUGGGAGGCAGAGCGAGACUCCGUCUCAAAAAAAAUAAAAGAUUCUACUGAAGGGUCCCAACUUAGCAAGCCUGUUUUUUUUUUUUUAGACGGAGUCUCGCUCUGUCUCCAGGCUGGAAUGCAGUAGCGCGAUCUUGGCUCACUGCAACCUCCGCCUCCCAGAUUCAAGCAAUUCUCCUGCCUCAG